AGCGGAAGGCCCUUCGGGGUACUCGAGCGGCGAACGGGUGAGUAACACGUGAGCAACCUGCCCUAGGCUUUGGGAUAACCCUCGGAAACGGGGGCUAAUACCGAAUAUGACCUCGCAUCGCAUGGUGUGUGGUGGAAAGUUUUUCGGCCUGGGAUGGGCUCGCGGCCUAUCAGCUUGUUGGUGGGGUGAUGGCCUACCAAGGCGACGACGGGUAGCCGGCCUGAGAGGGCGACCGGCCACACUGGGACUGAGACACGGCCCAGACUCCUACGGGAGGCAGCAGUGGGGAAUAUUGCACAAUGGGCGGAAGCCUGAUGCAGCGACGCCGCGUGAGGGAUGACGGCCUUCGGGUUGUAAACCUCUUUCAGCAGGGACGAAGCGUAAGUGACGGUACCUGCAGAAGAAGCGCCGGCCAACUACGUGCCAGCAGCCGCGGUAAGACGUAGGGCGCGAGCGUUGUCCGGAUUUAUUGGGCGUAAAGAGCUCGUAGGCGGCUUGUCGCGUCGACCGUGAAAACCUGGGGCUCAACCCCAGGCCUGCGGUCGAUACGGGCAGGCUAGAGUUCGGUAGGGGAGACUGGAAUUCCUGGUGUAGCGGUGAAAUGCGCAGAUAUCAGGAGGAACACCGGUGGCGAAGGCGGGUCUCUGGGCCGAUACUGACGCUGAGGAGC
rnacentral:rRNA from 1 species